AACAUGCAAGUCGAACGGUAACAGGAAGCAGCUUGCUGCUUCGCUGACGAGUGGCGGACGGGUGAGUAAUGUCUGGGAAACUGCCUGAUGGAGGGGGAUAACUACUGGAAACGGUAGCUAAUACCGCAUAACGUCGCAAGACCAAAGAGGGGGACCUUCGGGCCUCUUGCCAUCGGAUGUGCCCAGAUGGGAUUAGCUAGUAGGUGGGGUAACGGCUCACCUAGGCGACGAUCCCUAGCUGGUCUGAGAGGAUGACCAGCCACACUGGAACUGAGACACGGUCCAGACUCCUACGGGAGGCAGCAGUGGGGAAUAUUGCACAAUGGGCGCAAGCCUGAUGCAGCCAUGCCGCGUGUAUGAAGAAGGCCUUCGGGUUGUAAAGUACUUUCAGCGGGGAGGAAGGCGAUAAGGUUAAUAACCUUGUCGAUUGACGUUACCCGCAGAAGAAGCACCGGCUAACUCCGUGCCAGCAGCCGCGGUAAUACGGAGGGUGCAAGCGUUAAUCGGAAUUACUGGGCGUAAAGCGCACGCAGGCGGUCUGUCAAGUCGGAUGUGAAAUCCCCGGGCUCAACCUGGGAACUGCAUUCGAAACUGGCAGGCUAGAGUCUUGUAGAGGGGGGUAGAAUUCCAGGUGUAGCGGUGAAAUGCGUAGAGAUCUGGAGGAAUACCGGUGGCGAAGGCGGCCCCCUGGACAAAGACUGACGCUCAGGU
rnacentral:rRNA from 1 species